CCUACGGGAGGCAGCAGUGGGGAAUCUUGCGCAAUGGGCGAAAGCCUAACGCAGCCAUGCCGCGUGAAUGAUGAAGGUCUUAGGAUUGUAAAAUUCUUUCACCGGGGACGAUAAUGACGGUACCCGGAGAAGAAGCCCCGGCUAACUUCGUGCCAGCAGCCGCGGUAAUNCGAAGGGGGCAAGCGUUGCUCGGAAUUACUGGGCGUAAAGGGAGCGUAGGCGGACUGUUUAGUCAGAGGUGAAAGCCCAGGGCUCAACCUUGGAAUUGCCUUUGAUACUGGCAGUAUUGAGUACGGAAGAGGUAUGUGGAACUCCGAGUGUAGAGGUGAAAUUCGUAGAUAUUCGGAAGAACACCAGUGGCGAAGGCGACAUACUGGUCCGUUACUGACGCUGAGGCUCGAAAGCGUGGGGAGCAAACAGGAUUAGAUACCCUAGUAGUCCACGCCGUAAACGAUGAGUGCUAGUUGUCGGCAUGCAUGCAUGUCGGUGACGCAGCUAACGCAUUAAGCACUCCGCCUGGGGAGUACGGUCGCAAGAUUAAAACUCAAAGGAAUUGACGGGGGCCAGCACAAGCGGUGGAGCAUGUGGUUUAAUUCGAAG
rnacentral:rRNA from 1 species